rnacentral:rRNA from 1 species
CUACGUAGGGGGCGAGCGUUGUCCGGAAUGAUUGGGCGUAAAGGGCGCGUAGGCGGCCCGGUAAGUCUGGAGUGAAAGUCCUGUUUUUAAGAUGGGAAUUGCUUUGGAUACUGUCGGGCUUGAGUGCAGGAGAGGUUAUCGGAAUUCCCGGUGUAGCGGUGAAAUGCGUAGAGAUCGGGAGGAACACCAGUGGCGAAGGCGGGUAACUGGACUGCAACUGACGCUGAGGCGCGAAAGUGUGGGGAGCAAACAGGAUUAGAUACCCUGGUAGUCCACACUAUAAACGAUGAAUGCUAGGUGUAAGAGGUAUCGACCCCUUUGUGCCGGAGUCAACACAAUAAGCAUUCCGCCUGGGGAGUACGGCCGCAAGGUUGAAACUCAAAGGAAUUGACGGGG